UUGUUGUUGGCGGUUCUCCGAUUCGAGCAGGGUUCGACCAGUGGUGAGAGAUUUAUUUGAAGAAAAUCCCCAACUGGACGCAAACCACGACUGAAGACGAGGGAACAGCAACAAGUGAACCAGCCCGAGGACUGAGAGCACCGACUGGAGAGAACCCAUCUGACUCGCAGAUUCCAGUGAUUCAGUCAGGAGAAAGUUUGGUUAAAAAUGAGAAGGAAUUUGUCUCCAGGAAUCUCAAACUUGGUACGCCAGUUUUGCUGUCUCUGUCUAGAUAUUUAAGAAGUGGAGCAAGAGAUUCAAUCAACCAUCCUUCCAGCUCAGACUGUGGGGAGGGAUUCACUCGUGCAUUUGACGAACUUGCAUGCCCGUCAUUUUACACAGGAGAAAGGCCGUUCACCCGCUCAGACAGUGGGAAUGGAUUCACUUGCUUAUCACAAUUGAAUGUACAUCAGCAAGCUCACACAGGGCAAGGCCAAUCACCUGUUCUGUGUGUGAGAAGGGAUUCAGUCGGUCUUCCCACCUGUGGUCAUACCAGUCA